UCCAGCUGCGAACAUUCUAUUUAAAAUCCGAAACCCACCCCUCCCCUGGCCUGGGAUUCAAAGCCCCUGUCCUUGCCGAGCCCUGUGGUCUCCACUCCUACCUGCACCCCCUAUCCAGCCCGUCUUCUCUCCCCAGCCUCCUUCUCCUGCCUCCGCAGUCCUCCCCGGGCCCUUCUCCCACACAAAGCCAAUCAGAGCAGUUUAAAAGUUUUGUUGGUUCCUUUGUUGUACAUGACGGUAGAAUUCAUCUGGCGCGAUUAUAAAAGCAUGGGAUAUAAUUUGCUCCAAGUCAGCCCCCAGUACUUCCCCUUCCCCUCUUCUCCUCCCUCCUGUUCCCUCCCCUCUACUGGUCUUUCUGUGAUUUACUUAUAGUGGUUUACUUUUUGUUAGUUAGUGUCUUGUGACGUACACGUGGUGGAUUCGCUGUGGGUGUUUUAAUUCCUAUUCCUGCUCUAGAUCAAAUUCUGGUGUCUCUAGCAGAGGGUCCCCAGGGGCAAGAAGAACUGCCCUAGUGUUGAGGACACCUGGUCCCCUCUUCCCAGGGCCACCCUGCAGGGGCAGCGGGCCCCUCCUCUGCUUCCUCCUGUCCUGUCCCACCACGCGCCAGGUCCCAGCCAUGUUCUGUGAUGCAGGGCUGCACUGUGGGCAGGCGCUUCUCGCGACCCCUGCUUGGUGCAUGGAUACUCUCUGGGCUUUUAUUAGGGCAAUACAGUCACACAUAGCAGCCCGUGGACAGGUCCAGGUGGCUCACAUGACGCACCUCUGUGGACAGACAGCUUCUCUCGCGCUGUGCCUGCACUUCCUCGUCCCCAGAACAUCGGGACACAGAUCUGCCACCUGUGUGCGUUAAUUCCAGACUCUGCUUCUGUGUUGAGGAUUUUCUUUGGGUAUUUUCUAACGUGAGUAAGUUCUUCCCUUGUUCAUCAGCGAACAAAUCAAUCAAUCAAUACUUCUUCCUGAGAAAAGCGGUUCCGUGGUCUUGGCCCCUGGCAUUCCCUCCUGUUUUUAAACAUGCUGCUGGUAUUUCAGAUCUCCAAGCAGAUCCUUUCCAUUGUCCCCCUGAAUCUGUAAAAAAAAAAAAAAAAAAAAGAAUCUAUCUCUUUGCGAAUUCCUCUGCUUUUCACAUUUGCGCCCCUACUUGAAGGGACUUUUGGAGUCUUGCUCACUGUAGAUUCCCAGCUCCCGGAAAAGGUGCUCUGAGGCUGAGGCCGCCCUCUCCUUUAUCAUAGAACAGACAACGGGAGGGGGGGCAGAAUACAAAGUGAGGGGGUCACAGUCAUCAGUACCACUGCAACGGCUAUGGGUAAUGAGCUCCCUAGUGUUCCUGCUGGCCACGGCCUGGUGUCCCCAGGGGGAUGCACAGACUUGGCACUGACAGGUGGUGAUGGCUGAGAUCUCCACCUAGAGGGUGCAGCUGGGGCUGAGCUAACCAGAGAGCAUCUGGAGAGCAGGGUCUGCAGACCCCAUCCUCCCUCCCCUGAGCUGCAGUGCAAAACUAGAGGCCCAACCUCUCCAACACUGAGGGCUCCGUCCUGCUCAGGAUGAGCAGAGGCCAUGGCUGC
rnacentral:lncRNA from 1 species